CUACGGGUUGCAGCAGCUGCGAAUAUUUUACAAUGCACGAAAGUGUGAUAAAGCGAGCCAAAGUGUUUAUCGUACAGAUAAACUUUUCUUUAGCGUAAAAACCUAGAGGAAUAAGGACUGGGAAAGACCGGUGCCAGCCGCCGCGGUAAUACCGGCAGUUCGAGUGGCAUCCAACUUUAUUGGGUCUAAAACAUCCGUAGCUUGCCUUAUAAGUCUCUUGUGAAAUCUCAUGUCUCAAGCAUGAGGCUUGCAGGAGAUACUGUAAGGCUAGAGACCGGUAGACGUAAGGAGUACGGAGAAGGUAAUGGUAAAAUAUGUUAAUCUUCUUUGGACUAACAAUUUAGCGAAGGCACCUUACGAGGACGGAUCUGACAGUGAGGGAUGAAGGCCAGGGGCGCAAAACGGAUUAGAUACCCCCGUAGUC
rnacentral:rRNA from 1 species